UACGAGGGGGGCGAGGCGUUGUUCGGAAUUAUUGGGCGUAAAGGGUGCGUAGGCGGUUCCGCAAGUCCUGUGUGAAAUCUUCGGGCUCAACUCGAAGUCUGCACGGGAAACUGCGGGGCUUGAGUGUGGGAGAGGUGAGUGGAAUUCCCGGUGUAGCGGUGAAAUGCGUAGAUAAUCGGGAGGAACACCUGUGGCGAAAGCGGCUCACUGGACCAUAACU
rnacentral:rRNA from 1 species